rnacentral:misc_RNA from 1 species
UUUCUGUAGGUGAACCUGCGGAAGGAUCAUUCAUAAUAAAGUGUUUUAUGGCACUUUUUAAAAAUCCAUAUCCACCUUGUGUGCAAUGUUAGAUCUCGUCAAUCUUGGCGAGAUUUUUAUACAUCAACUCAUUCUUUAACUAAUUUGUCUGAAAAAUAUUAUGAAUACUUAAUUCAAAAUACAACUUUCAACAACGGAUCUCUUGGCUCUCACAUCGAUGAAGAACGCAGC